CAACCACCUAACACACUCGCGUCUGAUGACAAAACACAAAAAGCACACAGCACAAGCAGGUUUAGAAGGAAAGAGGAGAAACACAAAGACCGGCCGAGCUGAAACAGUAAAGCAGCCAACAAACUGAUAAGCACAAUAGCACACACUUGACCACAACCAUUCAUACAUCGAACAUGACCGGAAGUGAUGUUUGUUCGUGAAGAGAUACCAUCACAAAUUAUCACAGAAUCGAUAUUGCAUUCCAAAAAACACAUUUUUUUUUGUUAUUUCGCUGUUAUUUGUAGAAAUCUGCUGGAUAAAUAAAGCGCCAAAGUAGGGAAAGAGUGUCACCAUCCGUCAUUCGCGAGAUGACACAGCGGCACAUCAGCACUGAGCGAAUCCGGUGCAAUUUUGCAUUAGAGUGAGUGAUGAACACAUGCUGCACACAUUUGCAUACGAAGCAGCGCAACGGCGUCACAUUCCUAGUCACAGUGCCAGCAAUAGUAGUUUGUGUUAUUAUCGCACAGCUCUGUACCGUACAGGCCCGGGCAGCCGCGGUUGCCACUUGACAAGAGGGCAGCAUCAUAUUCCUCGUGUCGUAAGAUAGUAGAGGACCACCAGCACCAGGAAAGACUGAUACGACGACCACUGUGGUGGCAGGGAACAACACCACGGCUUGCCAGACCUUCAUGAUGGCAUCACUUUAGCAAACCCACUACCCUCCCGUAAAUUCAUCAAGAUAUGUCUCGUCAGCUUAUCAGUAACGCCUUGGUGUGCAGCAAAAGUGUGCAUGGAAAUGUUUGGUG